rnacentral:rRNA from 1 species
GACGAACGCUGGCGGCGUGCCUAAUACAUGCAAGUAGAACGCUGAAGGAGGAGCUUGCUUCUCCGGAUGAGUUGCGAACGGGUGAGUAACGCGUAGGUAACCUGCCUGGUAGCGGGGGAUAACUAUUGGAAACGAUAGCUAAUACCGCAUAACAGUAGAUAUUGCAUGAUAUCUGCUUGAAAGGUGCAAUUGCAUCACUACCAGAUGGACCUGCGUUGUAUUAGCUAGUUGGUGAGGUAACGGCUCACCAAGGCGACGAUACAUAGCCGCCCUGAGAGGGGGAUCGGCCACACUGGGACUGAGACACGGCCCAGACUCCUACGGGAGGCAGCAGUAGGGAAUCUUCGGCAAUGGACGGAAGUCUGACCGAGCAACGCCGCGUGAGUGAAGAAGGUUUUCGGAUCGUAAAGCUCUGUUGUAAGAGAAGAACGAGUGUGAGAGUGGAAAGUUCACACUGUGACGGUAUCUUACCAGAAAGGGACGGCUAACUACGUG